AUGGGAUUUUUGCUUCUGUUCGUUUUCGCUGUAGCAGCUUUGGAAGGCGUACGGUCCCAGGUGCAGCUGGUUGAGUCCGGAGGGGAUGUGAAAAAGCCCGGAGACUCUCUCCGCCUCUCCUGCAAAGCCUCCGGGUUCACCUUCAGCAGCGCCUACAUGAGCUGGGUCCGACAGGCUCCUGGCAAGGGACUAGAAUGGGUCGCUUUUAUAAGCACGGGUGGAAGUAGUACAUACUACCUUGAUUCAGUGAAAGGCCGAUUCACCAUCUCCAGGGAUGAUCCCAAGAGUGAGCUGUAUCUGCAAAUGACCGGCCUGAAGCCCGAGGACACCGCCCGCUAUUACUGUGCUAGAGACACAGUGACACGAAACCGUGUGGACGAGGAGUGA